AUGACAACUCUGGAGGACCAGAGCUUGCUGAGAGCCGUUCCUGCAAGUGGUUCUGUGACUCGGAAACUGACAACAGCUGCAUGCAAAGGAACAAAGAAUGAGACUGACAAUUUGGAGUGUGAGCAGUUCUGUACUAAUGCUGUGAAAGGCAUUUAUUGCGUGCAACUCAUUGGGAAUGCUUAUUUUGGAAAAGUAAAUCAUCUGAGCAAUUUUCAGGGCUUGCUGCAAACUGUUUUCAACUCUCCUCAUUCAAUCCAGCAGCCAGAGGCCUAUGAAGCUCUGUCAUUUCAUGAGAUUCAGUCACACAUACCUGAAGCCAUAUAUACCUCUCAAACCGGGGCAAUGAUUGGCUGGUGUAAUAUCUCUUGUUCAGUUAUCAACGCUUAUAUGAACUACUAUAUGGAAAUGUUCCCCCAUCAAGGAAACAAAUGAUCUUGAGGGAGCAGCUCUAUACGGCAUCUGUUCCAAUGGAGAACACAGAGUUAACCCCAGUCAAAAGAGACGCUGAGCCCGUCAUCAAGAAGUGGAAAAUGAGCGAUUCUUCUCCCCCAAAAUUGAAACCUAUACCUCCCUAGUUUUACAAGUCAUUUUAUUGAUUUGAGUAUCGACCGUUUCCAAAGAAGUAACUAAUUCUAGGGAAUUACAAUGAUCACGAGCUGUUGUGUAUCCAAAAGAGCAAAAGAGUGCAAAUAAAAUAAAAUUAAAAUUAAAAUAAAUGAAAGUA
rnacentral:lncRNA from 1 species